AAGGCCUGGGCCUCGGCUGGAGAACGUUGAACCCGAUUUUCUGUUUUAAUGUUUUAAGAAGCUUGGAAAACCGGCGAGAGUUAACUUAGGGGCCUUCGGGUGUUUUUGUUUAUUUAGUUAUUUAUUUUUAUUGUUAAGCAUCCGUCUAUGUGGCUGGAGCAGCACAGCAAAGCUGUUACACCGUCCGUUUAAAACACUCGCACACACAGCCCCAAAAUCUUGGGAGACCGUGUCUCAGGAAUUUUCCCAGAGAUUGCUUUAUAAUCUCAAGUUAGAGUUGGUACGGACAGCGCCACCAACACACUGAAUAGUAUCUUCCUUCACACGGGGAUCGAGGACCGGAAAUACCGUCACCUUUCAGCACUGAUUGCCGGGAACUGGAGCUCCAGGUGUUGGCGCGGGAGGCCCUGCGAGUGUGAGCAGAUUUUUGCCCAUGGUGCUUUUGUCUUUAUGCCCUGCAAACGAGUACUGAAGAAGAAAAGAUUAGGGCCAUGGUCUCCGUUGAGGGAGAUUGAAAGCAUUACUUGACAUGCUGUUCUCGGGAGGAAAAAGGUAAUGAGAACUCAUUAAAUCUGACGGAGGUACAGAAGAAGCGAGGACGCCUCAGAUACUUUUUUUGGUAGCUGUGUUUAUCGCCUGGAAAGACUAAGACUCAGGAAAACAGAAAACCACGAUCAGCAUCCGUAGACACCCCCACCCCACUCUCAGCGUGGUGAGCUGCCAGAGGGGUUGCCAGAAAAUCUCGUCAUGGGUGAAUCUACAGAGGUCUCCUUGGGAUUCUGUGAUGCUCGCCUGCCUAUAAGAAUCACCAAAAUGAUCAAAGCAGUAGCCUUGGGGAUUAGUUCAGACAUGCCCGAGAUAAUGGAUUUAAUCAAGGACAUCUUCAGGGCUAUUUAACAACAAUAUUUGAAAACCGGUUGGAGAGCACUCCCGCAGGCUAAUCACCAAGCAGUCAAUGCAUGGCCUUUGGAGGACAUUUUCGAUCCAGACCAGCCUUUAUCCUGAGACUAUCCAGGAGCCCAAGAGUUAUCGCAUUAGACUGUCAUCUGGGAAAUUCCAAGGUGUUAAGAUGAGUGAAACAAGGACAGGGCUGAGGAAGAAGAAUUGGUUAAAAGAGACGAAUUUGUGUGAGAGGGAAAAAGGAGCCUCUGCAGAAGUGAAGGAAGUUGAAGAUGAAGAGGUGCCCACUGCCCAGUCCCGAAGAGAAACCCAGUGGUCUGGUUGUUCCUGAUCAAGGCUGGCUCCAGCCGGAGCACAAGGAAGGUCUGGGGAGAGCGAUUUGCAUAGAACUGUUCGGUGUCUGCAACACUUCCCAAGCCUUCAAUAUUUAAGCCCAGCAGGGUUUGUAAUUCUACUACUUUGAGCUUGGGAAUCGAGAUGUACUGCCUCCAGGACAGGGGACAGACACCCCUUGAUUACCUGCUUCACAUCACCUUUCAUGUUUUAUUGUUGGAAAUAGACCCAUUGGAGGAUCACCUCAUUACCUUUU